rnacentral:rRNA from 1 species
GAUGAACGCUGACAGAAUGCUUAACACAUGCCAGUCGGUGGCGUACGGGUAAGUAAUGUCUGGAAAACUGCAUGAUGGAGGGGGAUAUCUACUGGAAACGGUAGAUAAUACCGCAUACCCUCAGAUGUGCCCAGAUGGGAUUAUCCAGUAGGUGGGGUAACGGCUCACCUAGGCGACGAUCCCUAGCUGGUCUGAGAGGAUGAACAACCACACUGGAACUGAGACACGGUCCAGACUCCUACGGGAGGCAGCAGUGGGGAAUAUUGGACAAUGGGCGCAAGCCUGAUGCAGCCAGGCCGAGUGUGUGAAGAAGGCCUUCGGGUGGUAAAGCACUUGCAGCGGGGAGGCGUUACCCGCAGAAGAAGCACCGGCUAACUCCGUGCCAGCAGCCGCGGUAAUUC